GUGCUCACUUCUGCAGCACAUGUACUAAAAUUGGAACAAUACAGAGAAGAUUACAUGACCCCUGCACAAGGAUGACACGCAAAUUUGUGACGUGUUCAUAUUUAAA